rnacentral:rRNA from 1 species
AACGAACGCUGGCGGCAGGCCUAACACAUGCAAGUCGAACGCACGUCUUCGGGCGUGAGUGGCGCACGGGUGAGUAACGCGUGGGAACCUACCCCUGGUGCGGAAUAAUUCGGGGAAACCCGGACUAAUACCGCAUACGUCCCCAUCAUUGGUUUGGUGGGGAGAAAGAUUUAUCGCCGAGGGAUGGGCCCGCGUCGGAUUAGGUAGUUGGUGGGGUAAUGGCCUACCAAGCCUGCGAUCCGUAGCUGGUCUGAGAGGAUGAUCAGCCACACUGGGACUGAGACACGGCCCAGACUCCUACGGGAGGCAGCAGUGGGGAAUAUUGGACAAUGGGGGCAACCCUGAUCCAGCCAUGCCGCGUGAGUGAUGAAGGCCUUCGGGUUGUAAAGCUCUUUCACCCGUGACGAUGAUGACGGUAGCGGGAGAAGAAGCCCCGGCUAACUCCGUGCCAGCAGCCGCGGUAAUACGGAGGGGCAAGCGUUGUUCGGAAUUACUGGGCGUAAAGGGCGCGUAGGCGGCCUGUUGCGUCAGGUGUGAAAAUCCCCGGGCUCAACCUGGGAAUGGCACUUGAUACGGGCAGGCUGGAAUCGGGAGAGGAUGGUGGAAUUCCCAGCGUAGAGGUGAAAUUCGUAGAUAUUGGGAAGAACACCGAUGGCGAAGGCAACCAUCUGGACCGGU